UUCCUCCUCUGAUUCAACUCGCUUCAGAGCGCGUGUGUGAAGACGUCUGACUUAAACUAGGUGGUUCUUAACUCUCUCCAUGUGGUUUGAAGCCUAUUGUACCCGACAUAUGCAGUAUGGUUUUGGGUGACACUCCUGUGAACAGACGGGUCAAUAGGCUCCAGAACAAAAUGUUGCCUCAAUCCUGGGAAUUUAUCCAAAAAAUAAUCCUUUUUUGUUUCCGAGGAAUCCUAUUCAGAUGGUGUGAUCUAAAGGAUGUCCACUAGGCGGCGCACCAGCCCUUUGGUGAUUGGAGGCGUGUGAGAGGUCCCAUAUGGUGAGAUUGAAGAAUAAAUGCUGGCAGGGCGUCGUUCUUACACGCAGUGCUGUAAAAUGAAAAGUUUGGGUUUGGAGUGAAGGGUUUCCCAGCCAGACUUGCAAGGUGAGAGCCAUUUCAUGUCUUUGGAUCACUUUCAAAGGGGGUCAGCCACUUCUCACUGGCGAUCCUCAACGCCGUGAUCCCACAUCAGUGCCCUAUGAGAUGUUUUGCAGCAUUUUUUGCUAAAUAAAAUGCCUGUGGUCUUUAGGGCAACACCUGAUAUACUUCAAGCCUUCUCAGUGGCAUAUUGUAUUAGCUCUUUGAUUAUGAAUGUAAUUGCCUUUUGUCUUUAACAACAGUUGGUGCUGAUGAGAUCAUACUGCGUGGGAAACUAAACCUUCCUCUGCUUUGGAGUUUUGUGGUAAUGCAGUUUUCAAUAAAUGAAGUUCGAAAUCAA